UACAGAGGUCUCAAGCGUUGUUCGGAUUCAUUGGGCGUAAAGGGUGCGUAGGUGGCUUGGCAAGUUUGAUGUGAAAGCUCAGGGCUUAACCCUGAAAUGGCAUUGAAUACUAUCGAGCUGGAGGUUUGGAGGGGGGACUGGAAUUCUUGGUGUAGCAGUGAAAUGCGUAGAUAUCAAGAGGAACACCAGUGGCGAAGGCGAGUCCCUGGACAACACCUGACACUGAGGCACGAAAGCCGGGGGAGCAAACAGG
rnacentral:rRNA from 1 species